CCUACGGGUGGCAGCAGUGAGGAAUAUUGGUCAAUGGGCGCGAGCCUGAACCAGCCAAGUCGCGUGAAGGAUGACUGCCCUACGGGUUGUAAACUUCUUUUAUAAAGGAAUAAAGUGAGGCACGUGUGCCUUUUUGUAUGUACUUUAUGAAUAAGGAUCGGCUAACUCCGUGCCAGCAGCCGCGGUAAUACGGAGGAUCCGAGCGUUAUCCGGAUUUAUUGGGUUUAAAGGGUGCGUAGAUGGGUUGUUAAGUCAGUUGUGAAAGUUUGCGGCUCAACCGUAAAAUUGCAAUUGAUACUGGCAGCCUUGAGUGCAGUUGAGGUAGGCGGAAUUCAUGGUGUAGCGGUGAAAUGCUUAGAGAUCACAAAGAACUCCGAUUGCGAAGGCAGCCUACUAAGCUGCCACUGACAUUGAUGCUCGAAAGUGUGGGUAGCAAACAGGAUUAGAUACCCCUGUAGUC
rnacentral:rRNA from 1 species